rnacentral:piRNA from 1 species
UAAAGGGGAAGGCCUUGUUUG